rnacentral:tRNA from 1 species
GGAUUUAGCUCAGUGGUAGAGCGCUUGCCUAGCAAGCACAAGGACCUGGGUUCGGUCCCCAGCUCCG